AGCUCAGACCCACGUAGGGGAGAGCGAAGUGGAACUUUAAUGUUCAAUGCAGCAAAUGUUCGCCAUGCGGAUAAACAAGUUGGAAUAGUUCAAUGUAGUGUAAUGCAAACACGAAUCGCAAAUAACGAUACGGGACCCAGAAGCAAUUCUGCGGAUCCCUCGGGGAGUGGUGAGUUGAUAUAAAUUAGAGGUGAAAGUCCAAGUUGUUCGAGCUCCGGCUCGGCAGCCGAUACGAGGUUCCUGUUGAGCUUGUUUGUACAUCGCGCAGAGGCGCCGUUCGGUUCUAGCAAUGAUUCCCGCCACCAUGUUCCAUGCGUGCAGAGAUCCGUUAGAGCUCGUUCAAUGUGUCCCGCCGUGAUUACGAAAAAGUCCAACAGUUGACUUAGUUGGGUGUGCGUCAAGUAAUCGCGCAGAGAUGCCGAUCGGUUCCUAGCAAUGUUUCCCGUCACAAGGUGGUAUUGGCACCUGUGCAGAGUGGCCGUUAGCAAUGUCUCCCGUAUCACGGUGGUGUACCAUCACUAGUGCAGAGUGACCGCUAGCAAUGUCUCCCGUCACAAGGGUGGUAGCCCAGAAGUGCAGAGAAGCCGCUGUAGCAAAGUCUCCCGUAUCACGUUGGAGUUCUUCCACUAGUGCAGAGAGAUCGCUGAACCGUUCAAUGUGUCCCGUCGUGGUGUGCUUGUACCGAGCACGUAGGAUACACCUUGCUUUGUUGGUUUGGGAUAGGAGUGGUCGCGCAACUGCCUCCACGCCGCAGAGUGCCAGUUCGGAUUGAAGGUCAACUUUAGCCGUUCAAUGCAUCAGUCGGUGGGUGUUCAGAUGGCAUCACAACUUCCCCUAGGUGCUCAAGUUGGCUGGGUUGUAAAACAUGUACACAUGCGCAGAGUAUCGUGCGUACUAGCAAAGUCUCCCGUCACGGUGGUUACGAAUGAGUUCCAUGCAGUGCAGAGCGAUCGUUAGUGCGUGCAAUGUACCAGUCGAUGUGUCGUACCGGCAUACAACCCCGCUUAGAGGCCCGUCGCUCGAAGAGGACAAGAAAGAGUGCGCAGAGUGCCGUACCGGCAUAGCAAUGUCUCCAGACAUACGUUGGGACACCCGACGCAGUGCAGAGAGAUCCGCUAGCCGUGUGCAAUGCAUCCGACGUUGCCUGCUUGUGCAGUCUAUCGAGUGGCGCCAACGGGACGCUCUGGCGUCGCAGAACAAAUCUCGGUGGUCACGGGGGACUUGCGCCUCGCGUGAUCAAGAGUGUAGUUCGUGUUCAAGCAAUUGACUCGAAUUCUGGUUGAUCCUACCAGUGAUAUACGCUCGUCUCAAAGGUUAAGCCAUGCAUGUCUAAGUACAAGCUUCCUAGAAAGUGAAACCGCAUAAGGCUCAAUAUAACAGCUAUAAUUUACAAGAUCCUCAUCCAAACAGUUACUUGGAUAACUGUGGAAAAGCCAGAGCUAAUACAUGCAUUAUGCCGGGACUGUUGGCCUCCGGGUCGGCGGAACUGGUGCACUUAUUAGUUAAACCAAUCGCCUCCGGGCGCUUUGAGUUGAAAUCUGGAUAAGGAUGCCGAUCGUACGGGUCGCUUGCGACUGACGACAGAUCUUUCAAAUGUCUGCCCCUAUCAACUAUUGAUGGUAGUGUAGAGGACUACCAUGGUUGCGGACGGGUAACGGGGAAUCAGGGUUCGAUUCCGGAGAGGGAGCCUGAGAAAUGGCUACCACAUCAAGGAAGGCAGCAGGCGCGUAAAUUACCCAAUCCCGGCACGGGGAGGUAGUGACGAGAAAUAACAAUAUGGACCUCUCUAACGAUGGUCCAUAAUUGGAAUGAGUUGAGCAUAAA